rnacentral:lncRNA from 1 species
AUGUCCUCACAUGGGAUGGGGUGGGAGGCUGUCCCUGAGGACCUGGGGGCUCUCCUCCCCAGGCGAACCUCGUGGGGGGUGAGCCUGGAAAGGACUGGAGAACAGCCCUGCUCCGAGGACCCUGCGUGCCUCAUUGGCCUGGACCAGCCCUUCCCACCCCGACCUUGUCUGCAGCCAGGCCUCCCUCCAGCCCAGCCAAUCCAGCUGCCUCGGGAUGCACAAGCAUUACAAGCUGGAGCCCUGCAUCCCUGUGGGCCCAGGUUCCGAGUCUGGGGUCCUGGGAUAAGGAGAGGGGUCACGCUCUCCUGUUGCUCCAAGACAAUCCUGCCAGCCGGACUUCCCCUCCUCGUUGGCCAGCCACGCCCUCAGCCCAGGAGCACAGGCCAUCCUCCAGCUCAGGGCCAGUGGGUGCUGGGCAGGCAGGGAAGGCUCACUCGACCUGGUCCUGCCCCAGGACAGUGGCUCCUUCCACAGCUCCUGAGGAAGAGGGUCAUCCUCUGCUCUCUGGGCCACUGGCAUGUGACCCCUAUCAGGCACAGGAAGGACUCCAGUCUGAACCUGGAAGUGCCCCAGCGGGGAGUGGACCACUCACUGUACACACACGAUCGUGGAAGAUGUGCAAAGGAAGAGGCGGAGGUGACUCUAUGCCAUGGCCUCGAGCCCAGGGGGCUGGCUGCUUCAGAGCCCUCCAGGGGUCAGCGGCCUCCCCUUUCCCUGGAUGGGAAUCCUCCUGGAGCUUCGUCUCGCCCCUCAGAGCUCCUCAUCUGUGGCUUUCAGGACCAAAGGAGAGACUGUAGUGAGGCCCUGAAGGCUCCACUCGCCUCCUUCCUCCACACACAUCACUGCUCCCCGAGAAGCAGGAGCUGUGCUCUCUCACCACCCGGAGCAGCUUGGUUAAGGCACAUGUUCCCUCCAAGGCCCAGCCCCUCUGGCUCUGUCACCUACACGGUGGCCCCGGCCGCCUGGCUGGGUGAGGAGUCCCAGGAGAGCUCUCCUGGCUGGGUCAGGGAUCAUAUUCUUGAGCACAGAAAUGCCCCAUCUGUCCUUUCCUGCAGAAGGUGAAUGCCUGGGGAUCCCUGGGUGGCUCAGCGCCUGCCUUUGGCCCAGGGCAUGAUCCUGGAGUCCUGGGAUCGAGUCCUGCCUCGGGCUCCUGGCAUGGAACCCGCUUCUCCCUCUGCCUGUGUUUCUGCACCCCCCCCCCACCAUGAAUAAAUAAAUAAAAUCUUUAAAAAAAAA